rnacentral:lncRNA from 1 species
CUAAUUUUGUCUACGUGCGAUAUGGGAGUACCGUCUUCUGAGAUAACGCGUAUUUUUGAGUAUUCCCGUUCCUCUUCGCGCAGGCUUUUGCGACCUCUGCUCGUGGGUUUGUAGAGUAACAGUUCGGACUUGGUCGCCGAGCACUCGAGUCCCGUUCCACGCAUGUAAUUCU